GAGGGUAUAGCUCAGUGGUACAGUGCAUGCCUAGCAUGCACGAGGUCCUGGGUUCAAUCCCCAGUACCUCCA
rnacentral:tRNA from 1 species